GACAGAGGUGCCAAGCGUUAGGCGGAAUCACUGGGCUUAAAGCGUGUGUAGGCGGACUUGUAAGUACCUUGUGAAAUCCCACGGCUUAACCGUGGAACUGCUCGGCAUACUGGCGGUCUUGAGCAACCUAGGGGCGAGCGGAACAAAUGGUGGAGCGGUGAAAUGCGUAGAUAUCAUUUGGAACGCCAAUGGUGAAAACAGCUCGCUGGGGGUUUGCUGACGCUGAGACACGAAAGCCAGGGGAGCGAACGGG
rnacentral:rRNA from 1 species